CCCUACGGGGUGCAGCAGGAUUGGCAAAUUUCACUAUACAGACAAUAAGUUCAACGUACAUAAGAGCAACGAUUACUCAUAAUGCCGCAGGAGCAACUGGAGUGCCCGUAGAAGCGACGUUGACUGGUUAUAUAGCGGCAGAACUGUAAUGUAUAAACUUACAAAUACUACAUUGAUCUUGAGAAUAGAUGAUGGGGCUUACAUCCCUUCAGACAGAAACAAUGUCGAUUACCAGCAAUAUAUUGCAUGGGUUUCUUCUGGCAAUACUCCAUUGCCUUCCGAUCCUGUUGUCCCUCAACCCAAUCCAUUUGGAUUCAUUACUUCAUGCAAAGCGGCUGUAGGAGGGGUUUUGAAUGCCAAUGCACUACAGAAACAGUACCCUGCUUUUGAAUGGGCGGGGGAGC
rnacentral:rRNA from 1 species